CUUAAUAUCAAUGUUACAAGUGUUCGGUAUAUAUGCCGACUUAAAAGGGAAACAGGUGAAAAUCCUGUACGGUCCCGCCGCUGUGAUGGGGAAAUGUAUCAUAAAUGAUGCCACUGUAUAUUCCGGGAAGGCAUGAUACAUUGAUGAACCAGAGUCAGAAGACCUGCUUGUAAUGCAAAAGCGUA
rnacentral:ncRNA from 2 species